CCAGCAUUUCUAACGGCCAGUAGUGACAGAGGGUGGCACAUCAUUUAUCAUGUUAGUUACUAGCUGAAAUAAACACUGCUGCUCUGGGCCAUGCACUGGAUAUGUAGACUCUUCCCAAGUCUGCAGUGCUAUGAAUUCUGUAGACCCAUGUAUGUUAUCACAAAUCACACAGUGAACUUAUGCCUGUGAGCAUCAGACUAAUAAGAUGAAGAAACUGAGGCACAGAGAGGUUACGUACCUUGCUGAAGGUCACACAAGCAGAGUGGUUUGACUAUGGAUCCUAGGCUUUUGAUGAAGACUUUGUAUUUCUUUGUGCAGAGUAUCUUGGACAUAAGAGGACCCCCAAAAGGAGAGAGAGAUAUUUGUUUACAGAUGAAGAAUAAAGUAAAGUAAUUAUAAGGGUAGAAGCUGAGCUGUUACUACAAGAAAAGUGUGAAUGUGAAUGUGCUGCAGUGAUUGGAUGGUCCCAAGCACAACACACUCAGCCAAACUGAAAAAACAGCAGGAGAGGAAAGAAAAGAAAAGACAUUUUUUUGUCCCAUUGAGUCCCUCUAUGUUCUUUCUGGCUGUCUGUACCCCUUCUCAAUGGCAUAUUAUCUAGAUAUUUUCCUUAAUGCUUUAGUUCUAUUUCUCUGCCUAUGUAAAGUCUCUCUCACAUUUUGGGACCCGGAGGUCUUGUACUCUGACCAAUAAAAUUUGGAAAAUGUAAUUAUCAUAGGUCAUUAUUGGAAAUAUAACACUAUCCAAAGGAACUGAUACCUUAUGGUAGAAAUCUGGUACAUGGUAGGCAACGAGAAAGCUUUUCCUAGGAAAGGUGUGCCCAGAUCACCCUUAAGGGCUUCCUGUGCUGGUGAAGAUGGAGCUGGCUACAACACCUGGGUUACUCAGACUAUAAAACAAUAGGAGAAAGAAAAAGGAGAGGAAAAGAAAUUUACUUUUUGUUUACUACCUAUAAAACAUUUCUUUUGCCUCUAGUGGGUGGUGUGUGAAAAAGGAUGUACUUCAUAUAUACAAUAAUUGGGGAUGGGCUAGAGUAGGAGAGGUUCCAAUUAUCUGGCAUUUAUUAAUUUUAUUUUAUUGUGGAUAAUUUUGCUUGUGAGGCACUAAAAAAGGGAAAGAGAAAAUCACAUCUAUUAUCUGUUUGCAGUUGUAAAUCUUUAAUAAUGGCCAUAUAAUUGGUAACUUAGCAAUAUACUACAGUGUUAUCUUUAAUUUGCCUUUCUAAUUUAUUUAAUAUGAUCAGGUUUUAAAAAAACAAAAUCCGUAACCUAACACAUGCUCAAGGAUUCAGCUUAUGGAAAAAUACAGAACCUUAAUAUAUUUGGAAAACUUUCUACUACCCUGUCUAAUCUAUGUUAAAUACAGCUUUUUUUAAAAGAAUAUAAAUCUGAAAAUGUGCUUAUGACUAACAAUGUUCUGCGAUAAAAAAAAUUUAUUUAAAAGUCAUUAAACUUUAAAUGCUUUGUCCUUGUAAACUCUUUAUAAGAAAACUCAACAUUUUCUCUUAAAAUGUGUGAAAUAAAGUCGUAUUCAAUAUUUUCUGUUAAAAUGUGUGAAGUAAAGUCAGAAUUCUUUUCAAAAACCGCUGACAUUAUGAACUGUGGCAUGAAAUACAUGUCUUCAGAAAGCUCACUGCUUUAACUCUUCAGAGUAAAAUUAAGCUACCAGAUAAUUUCCAUUUAGUGUUACAUUAACUGCAUUUCUUUAAGUCAUAAAAAUAUGCUGUAAAAUAUAUCACAAUGCUCAAUAUGGCUCUGGAGGGAUAUUGCUUUAAGCCAAAGAAGCAACCCAGGGUGAAGCUGCAGGACUAGCAACAGCUGGCUACAGUUGAGGGAUCCAGUCUUCAAGAAGCCAAUACCAGGAAGGCAAUCACCAGCCAUAGGGAGGUAUUUACAAGUGAGAGUCCCAGCCUGUGGGGUGGGAUUUAGGCAUGAGCCUUUAGAACCUUUUUAGGUGGAGGUGAUCGUGACCAGAGCAGAGGUGAUCCUGUAGGGAGAGAUAGACAAUAAGACCCUGUGAAUUACUAACAAGUCUGAAGUCUAAGUUCCAUAACACCAGUGCCCAAGUUCCAUAAGCAAAGAUCAGACUCUGAAAUUUUCUCAACAAGAUUAAGAUACAUCUUAGAAGCUUGGAUGGAGUUGAGGCUACAAGGAACAAUUAGGUAGCCCCAGCAUGGGAAAAGGCAGAUGUAAUGUUCAAAGUGGGCAAUCUCUAACAGCAGAAACUCAAAUGAACAUGUAUUUGUAUUUUUUACUGGGGAAUGGAAAAGAUGGUAUUGAAUGAAGAGCUUUUAAGGAUGGGUGGAAUUGAGAUAAGCAAAGAAAAGAGGGAAAGGGCAUUCCAGGAGGAAGGCCUAACAUAGGCAAUGAGAUGAAGAGUUGUUGAGAAAUGACAAAAUUUAUUACGUGGUUGAGCAAAGGGUGAUUAGAAAUAGGAUGGUCCCCUGUAGUGACAAGUGGAUUUGAGGAAGUAGCAUUUGAGGAAUGACAGGUAAAUGAGUAGUAAGAGGAAGAAUACAUGGAAGCAGAAUGAGCCUAAAUAAUGAGAUGUUUUGGGUGCCAUCUUGAGGAACUUAGGAUUUAUCUAAAAGCACCAACUGGCAUUCAAUAUUUGGGGAGGGAAUUAAUUGAACUUAACCUUCUUUUUGGAGGAUAACUUUGGAGACAGUCUGAUGCAUUUGCAUUCUACUGUUAGCAAAACAUAAGUCUCAAACUAGGAGAGAGCAAUAGCAGUACUACAAAUAAUUUGAAGAAAUGUAGCUUCAGUAAAAAAAAAAAAACACAUUAUUAAGAUAACUCAAAACAGUUAAAUUAAAGAAAAAAAAAAUUUGUUCCCAAUUUCUGACACCUGAAUUUCCCAAAUGCUGGGACCCACCACCAAAAUUCUGAUUAGUAGCUCCUGGAAGGAAGCUGGGAAUCUCCAUUUUGAACAAAGGCUGGGCGCAGUGGCUCACGCCUAUAAUCCCAGCAUUUGGGGAGGCCGAGGCGGGUGGAUCAUGAGGUCAAGAAAUUGAAACCAUCCUGGUCAACAUGGUGAAAACCCCAUCCCUACUAAAAAUACAAAAAUUAGCUGGGCAUGGUGGUGCAUGCCUGUAGUCCCAGCUACUCGGGAGGCUGAGGCAGGAGAAUUGCUUGAACCCAGGAGGCAGAGGUUGCGGUGAGCCGAGAUCGUGCCAUUGCACUCCAGCCUGGGUAACAGGAGCAAAACUCCAUCUCAAAACAAACAAACAAAAAGAAAGAAACAAUAGCUUCAUACAAUGCUUAGGAUCCAACACGUCAAGUGGAUAGAAAAGACAGGAGGCAAUUUAUUGACCUGGAUUAAAUUGCUGUGUUCUAUUUGUGAUCAUUCUUGAAAUGUGUACUAUUUACAUACUUUUUUCUACAUAUUUUAAGUUUCAAUUAAAGUUUAUUAAAAUACAUAAAUUGA